GCCUGGAUUUAUUCACUUAUUCUUAGCUUGCUUCAAACAAACCAAAUUAACUAGUACUUCAUAGUGUCCUAUGCCAGAGCAAGCUGAGGCUCUGAACCAUUGCCUGCUCACUACCAAAGACUGCUGGAACUGAAGGGGAUUGCACAGUG
rnacentral:snoRNA from 1 species